CCAGNCCCUAUGGGGCGCAGCAGGNGAGAAAACUUUGCAAUGUGCGAAAGCACGACAAGNUUAGUCCGAGUGAUUUCUGCUAAAGAGAUCUUUUGCAAGUUCUAAAACCACUAGUGAAUAAGGGGUGGGCAAGUUCUGGUGUCAGCCGCCGCGGUAAAACCAGCACCUCGAGUGGUCAGGAGGAUUAUUGGGCCUAAAGCAUCCGUAGCCGGCUCUGUAAGUUUUCGGUUAAAUCCAUGCGCUCAACGCAUGGGCUGCCGAAAAUACUGCAGAGCUAGGGAGUGGGAGAGGUAGACGGUACUCGGUAGGAAGGGGUAAAAUCCUUUGAUCUAUCGAUGACCACCUGUGGCGAAGGCGGUCUACCAGAACACGUUCGACGGUGAGGGAUGAAAGCUGGGGGAGCAAACCGGAUUAGAUACCCGGGUAGUCCCAGCUGUAAACGAUGCAGACUCGAUGAUGCAUUGGCAUAUAGCCAGUGCAGUGUCGCAGGGAAGCCGUUAAGUCUGCCGCCUGGGAAGUACGUACGCAAGUAUGAAACUUAAAGGAAUUGGCGGGGGAGCACCACAAGGGGUGAAGCCUGCGGUUCAAUUGGAGUCAACGCCAGAAAUCUUACCCGGAGAGACAGCAGAAUGAAGGUCAAGCUGAAGACUUUACCAGACAAGCUGAGAGGUGGUGCAUGGCCGUCGCCAGCUCGUGCCGUGAGAUGUCCUGUUAAGUCAGGUAACGAGCGAGAUCCCUGCCAUUAGUUGCUAUCAUUAUUCUCAGGAAUAGUGGGGCGAACUAGUGGGACUGCCGUUGUUAAAACGGAGGAAGGAAGGGGCUACGGCAGGUCAGUAUGCCCCGAAACUCUGGGGCCACACGCGGGCUGCAAUGGUAGUGACAAUGAGUUCCAAACUCGAAAGAGAGUGGCAAUCUCCAAACACUACCACAGUUAUGACUGAGGGCUGUAACUCGCCCUCACGAAUAUGGAAUCCCUAGUAACCGCGCGUCAUUACCACGCGGUGAAUACGUCCCUGCUCCUUGCACACACCGCCCGUCGUUUCAUCGAAGUUUGCUUUUAGCGAGGUGAUGUUUAAUUGG
rnacentral:rRNA from 1 species